AUGGUGCAUGUGUGCUUACGCGCAGACGGCGUGGCCGAUCUCGUGGUAGGCGACGAGCAUCUUGCUCUUGCCGUCGGUCAUGCUGGUGCCCUCGAGGCCAGCGACGAUGCGGUCGAUGGAGUCGUCGAUCUCCUUGACGGAGACGCGGUCCUUGCCGCGGCGGCCGGCGAGGAUGGCGGCCUCGUUCAUGAGGUUGGCGAGGUCGGCGCCGCUGAACCCGGGCGUGCGCAUGGCCACCACGCCGAGGGACACGCCGGGGUCCAGCUUCUUGUUGGCGCUGUGCACCCUGAGGAUCUCCUCGCGGCCGCGCACGUCGGGCAGCCCCACGGACACCUGCCGGUCGAAGCGGCCCGGGCGGAGCAGCGCGGCGUCGAGGAUCUCCGGCCGGUUCGUGGCGGCAAUGACGAUGACGCCGCUGUCGCCGCGGAAACCGUCCAUCUCGGUGAGCAGCUGGUUCAGCGUCUGCUCGCGCUCGUCGUUGCCCCCGCCGAUGCCCGUGCCGCGCUGCCGGCCGACGGCGUCGAUCUCGUCGAUGAACACCAGGCACGGCGCGCUGUCCUUGGCCUUGUUGAAGAGGUCCCGCACCCGCGACGCGCCCACGCCCACGAACAUCUCGAUGAACUCCGACCCGGACAGCGAGAAGAAGGGCACGCCGGCCUCGCCCGCGAUCGCCUUGGCCAGCAGCGUCUUCCCCGUCCCCGGCGGGCCCACCAGCAGAACCCCCCUGGGGAUCCUCGCCCCCACCGCCGUGAACUUGUCCGGGAACUUGAGGAACUGCACGAUCUCCUGGAAGUCCUGCUUCGCCUCGUCCACGCCGGCGAUGUCGUCGAACGUGACGCCCGUGUUGGGCUCCAUCUGGAAGUUGGCCUUGGACCGGCCGAGCCCGAAGGGCAGGCUCGGCCCGCCGCCGGGCGUGUUCAUGCCCCCCGACGACCGCAGGAAGAGCGAGGCGAGGAAGAGGAGCGGGAAGCCGAGGUUAAGCAGGAGGCCGAGGACGUCCAGCCCGACGUUGGGCUCCACCGGCUCGGCCGCCAAGUCGACGCCUUUCUCCCGCAUCUGCCGGACCAGCUCGGCGGGGAGCCCCGGGAGCUGCACCUUGACGCGGCGCGCCCUCGCCAGCGCCGGCUCGUCCACCUCGGCGACGGCCACCGUGCCGUUCUGGAACAGGUCCACCUUCUUGACCGCGCCAGCGUUGAGGUACUCCAGGAACCUGGAGUAGGACAUCCGGUUCGAUGUCAGCUCCUCCGGCGCCAGCACCGGCGGUUGAUCAGCCCGUGCCGGCCUUGCCACGGCGAGCCCGAACCCGAGGCCCAGGCCGGCGCACCGGAGCAGCCCCCGCCUGCCGAGGAGCCCGGCGGCGUCUGGCGACCGGGGCGUGGUCUUGGCGGGAGAGGCCCGCCUCUGCGGCGCCUGCUUGGCGACGUCCUGCGCCUUGCAGACGGACAGGUGGCUCGUCGUCGUCAGCGACAUGGCCGUGGGCGACAUGCCAAGCUUACUGUUACUGAUCGACCAGGCUACCAAUUGGCUAGUGGCAACUGA
rnacentral:rRNA from 1 species